GCUGGGCAUGGUGGCACAUGCCUGUAGUCCCAGCUACUCAGGAGGCCGAGGCAGGAAGAUUGCUUGAGCCCAGGAGUUUGAGGCUGCAGUGAGCUAGGACUGUGCCACUGCACACCAGCCUGGGCAACAGAGUGAGACCCUGUCUCUA
ensembl:misc_RNA Metazoa_SRP Metazoan signal recognition particle RNA